rnacentral:rRNA from 1 species
GGAUCCAGACUUUGAUUAUGGCUCAGAUUGAACGCUGGCGGCAGGCCUNACACAUGCAAGUCGAACGGUAACAGGAAACAGCUUGCUGUUUCGCUGACGAGUGGCGGACGGGUGAGUAAUGUCUGGGAAACUGCCUGAUGGAGGGGGAUAACUACUGGAAACGGUAGCUAAUACCGCAUAACGUCGCAAGACCAAAGAGGGGGACCUUCGGGCCUCUUGCCAUCGGAUGUGCCCAGAUGGGAUUAGCUAGUAGGUGGGGUAACGGCUCACCUAGGCGACGAUCCCUAGCUGGUCUGAGAGGAUGACCAGCCACACUGGAACUGAGACACGGUCCAGACUCCUACGGGAGGCAGCAGUGGGGAAUAUUGCACAAUGGGCGCAAGCCUGAUGCAGCCAUGCCGCGUGUAUGAAGAAGGCCUUCGGGUUGUAAAGUACUUUCAGCGGGGAUGAAGGGAGUAAAGUUAAUACCUUUGCUCACUGACGUUACCCGCAGAAGAAGCACCGGCUAACUCCGUGCCAGCAGCCGCGGUAAU